rnacentral:lncRNA from 1 species
UCCCUUUUCUCCCAUUUUUUCAUAUUCUCCUUCCUCGCAUCAAAACUGAGCCCAAGGAUAUGUGACGUGUUGUCUAAGCUUUGCCAUGAGUUGAGAAAUUCAGAGUUCUUACAUUUCUCCUUGAGCAUUUAUGUGAGGCAGGUAGGUAACUGAAAUUCUUCUUGGUAUAAGUUAUAAGCAAAGAGCUUUAUUUUGGAACUAAAAGAUUGAUGUCCGUUUACCACACCCACUCAUCCCAAGAAUCCAACUGAAGG